GUAGCAGAAUAGUUUGUUCUUUAAUUGGGAGUUGGUAUGAAGGGUUACACAAAGAAUAUCUUUUAAGUUAAAUUAAGUAAAUUAAGGUUUAAGUCAAAACGCUUAAAUAAUGUAAAGGGACGAUAAGACCCUAAAAGCUUUAUUUAUUAAUUUAUAAAUUAAUUAUAUUGUGAAAAUAUGUAGUUAGUAAGAUUAGCUGGGGAAGUGGUUUUAAGUAAUUAAAAUUUAAUUAUACUAAGGAUUAGGGUACACGGUCUUAUAUAUAAGAGUUGUUGGAUAGAGUUACUUUAGGGAUAACAGCGCAAUGGUUUUGGAGAGUUCUUAUUUAUAAUAUUAUGUGCGACCUCGAUGUUGAAUUAAAGAUAUCUUAAGGGGGCAGAAAACUUAUAAGAGGGUUUGUUCAACCUUUAAAUUUUU
rnacentral:rRNA from 1 species